UCCUGGCUCAGAUUGAACGCUGGCGGCAGGCCUAACACAUGCAAGUCGAGCGGUAGAGAGAAGCUUGCUUCUCUUGAGAGCGGCGGACGGGUGAGUAAUGCCUAGGAAUCUGCCUGGUAGUGGGGGAUAACGUUCGGAAACGGACGCUAAUACCGCAUACGUCCUACGGGAGAAAGCAGGGGACCUUCGGGCCUUGCGCUAUCAGAUGAGCCUAGGUCGGAUUAGCUAGUUGGUGAGGUAAUGGCUCACCAAGGCGACGAUCCGUAACUGGUCUGAGAGGAUGAUCAGUCACACUGGAACUGAGACACGGUCCAGACUCCUACGGGAGGCAGCAGUGGGGAAUAUUGGACAAUGGGCGAAAGCCUGAUCCAGCCAUGCCGCGUGUGUGAAGAAGGUCUUCGGAUUGUAAAGCACUUUAAGUUGGGAGGAAGGGUUGUAGAUUAAUACUCUGCAAUUUUGACGUUACCGACAGAAUAAGCACCGGCUAACUCUGUGCCAGCAGCCGCGGUAAUACAGAGGGUGCAAGCGUUAAUCGGAAUUACUGGGCGUAAAGCGCGCGUAGGUGGUUUGUUAAGUUGGAUGUGAAAUCCCCGGGCUCAACCUGGGAACUGCAUUCAAAACUGACUGACUAGAGUAUGGUAGAGGGUGGUGGAAUUUCCUGUGUAGCGGUGAAAUGCGUAGAUAUAGGAAGGAACACCAGUGGCGAAGGCGACCACCUGGACUAAUACUGACACUGAGGUGCGAAAGCGUGGGGAGCAAACAGGAUUAGAUACCCUGGUAGUCCACGCCGUAAACGAUGUCAACUAGCCGUUGGAAGCCUUGAGCUUUUAGUGGCGCAGCUAACGCAUUAAGUUGACCGCCUGGGGAGUACGGCCGCAAGGUUAAAACUCAAAUGAAUUGACGGGGGCCCGCACAAGCGGUGGAGCAUGUGGUUUAAUUCGAA
rnacentral:rRNA from 1 species